ACCACAGAGAGUAAUCUCUUUUUACCA
rnacentral:tRNA from 1 species